rnacentral:rRNA from 1 species
UGUCGUCAGCUCGUGUUGUGAAAUGUUGGGUUAAGUCCCGCAACGAGCGCAACCCUUAUCCUUUCUUGCCAGCACNUAAUGAGUCCGAACUCAAAGGAGACUGCCGGUGAUAAACCGGAGGAAGGUGGGGAUGACGUCAAGUCAUAUUGGCCCUUACGACCAGGGCUACACACGUGCUACAAUGGCGCAUACAAAGAGAAGCGAACUCGCGAGAGCAAGCGGACCUCAUAAAGUGCGUCGUAGUCCGGAUUGGAGUCUGCAACUCGACUCCAUGAAGUCGGAAUCGCUAGUAAUCGUGGA